rnacentral:lncRNA from 1 species
CUUGGCCGCCGGGCGUCGGUUGGGCUCCCUCGGCGCGCACCCUAGGGAGGGCGCGCCCCAGGCCCAGGCUAUGAGGGUGUGUGUUUCGGGGAGGCGGUCCCCACCCCAGACGUGGCCUCGCUCCUGGCGUUCGGAAGGCGCGAGGGAGUGUGAACUGGAGCUGCUCCCUCGGCCCGAGGAGCGGAGUCCCCGAGGCGGGCUCCCAGCACGUGCGCCCGGGGCGCCCGCGGCGGGGCUGCUUCCCAAACAGCGGGUGUGAGGGGCCCCUGGCGCAGCCUCCUCUCCGGCCAGAGCUCGCAGGAAAACUCCGGCCUACACACACACCUGCAGGGUUUAUUCCACCUCAAGAAACAGCCUCGCAGGUUGGUGCUGCUUAUUGUCAGCCCCGGAGAGCACGCCCGCGGGCCCUGCGCAGUUUCAUCUUACCUGUCUGGGGGCGCUGAUUGACAACGAAAGUGGUGGUGAUCUCGAUUGAGAGAGAGAGAAAGAGUCAGAGAUGACAUCGAAGAUUGAAGCCUCAGCCUCUGGGAGAAUGGCAGCAGGGCUCCCUGAAAUGAGAAACCCAAGGAGAAGAUCAAGUCUGAGAGUGAAAAGUAAGUUCCUUUUCUGACUUACUGAGUCUGAGGAACAUUUGGG